UGGGGAAUAUUGCACAAUGGGGGAAACCCUGAUGCAGCGACGCCGCGUGGAGGAAGAAGGUCUUCGGAUUGUAAACUCCUGUUGUUGAGGAAGAUAAUGACGGUACUCAACAAGGAAGUGACGGCUAACUACGUGCCAGCAGCCGCGGUAAAACGUAGGUCACAAGCGUUGUCCGGAAUUACUGGGUGUAAAGGGAGCGCAGGCGGGAGAACAAGUUGGAAGUGAAAUCCAUGGGCUCAACCCAUGAACUGCUUUCAAAACUGUUUUUCUUGAGUAGUGCAGAGGUAGGCGGAAUUCCCGGUGUAGCGGUGGAAUGCGUAGAUAUCGGGAGGAACACCAGUGGCGAAGGCGGCCUACUGGGCACCAACUGACGCUGAGGCUCGAAAGUGUGGGUAGCAAACAGGAUUAGAUACCCUGGUA
rnacentral:rRNA from 1 species